UACGUAGGGACCGAGCGUUGUCCGGAUUCAUUGGGCGUAAAGAGCUCGUAGGCGGCUGCUCAAGUCGAAUGUGAAACCUCGAGGCUCAACCUCGAGCCUGCAUUCGAUACUGGGCAGCUAGAGUCUGGUAGGGGGAUCUGGAAUUCCUGGUGUAGCGGUGGAAUGCGCAGAUAUCAGGAGGAACACCGGUGGCGAAGGCGGGAUCCUGGGCCAGUACUGACACGUGAG
rnacentral:rRNA from 1 species